rnacentral:rRNA from 1 species
UGGGGAAUAUUGGACAAUGGGCGCAAGCCUGAUCCAGCCAUGCCGCGUGAGUGAUGACGGCCUUCGGGUUGUAAAGCUCUUUUGUCCGGGAAGAUAAUGACUGUACCGGAAGAAUAAGCCCCGGCAAACUUCGUGCCAGCAGCCGCGGUAAUACGAAGGGGGCUAGCGUUGUUCGGAUUUACUGGGCGUAAAGCGCACGUAGGUGGCUUGUUAAGUCAGAGGUGAAAGCCUGGAGCUCAACUCCAGAACUGCCUUUGAUACUGGCAGGCUCGAGUAUGGAAGAGGUUGGUGGAACUCCGAGUGUAGAGGUGAAAUUCGUAGAUAUUCGGAAGAACACCAGUGGCGAAGGCGGCCAACUGGUCCAUUACUGACGCUGAGGUGCGAA